AAACUUUACAAUGCGGGAAACCGUGAUAAGGGGACACCGAGUGCUAGCAUCAUAUGCUGGCUGUCCAGGUGUACACCUGUAGCAAGGGCCGGCAAGACCGGUGCCAGCCGCCGCGGUAACACCGGCGGCCCGAGUGGUGAUCGUGAUUAUUGGGUCUAAAGGGUCCGUAGCCGGUUUGGUCAGUCCUCCGGGAAAUCUGAUAGCUCAACUAUUAGGCUUCGGGGGAUACUGCCAGACUUGGAACCGGGAGAGGUAAGAGGUACUACAGGGGUAGGAGUGAAAUCUUGUAAUCCCUGUGGGACCACCUGUGGCGAAGGCGUCUUACCAGAACGGUUCGACGGUGAGGGACGAAAGCUGGGGGCACGAACCGGAUUAGAUACCCGGGUAGUCCUGGCCGUAAACGAUGUGGACUUGGUGUUGGGCAGUGCCGAAGGGAAGCCGUGAAGCGAGCCACCUGGGAA
rnacentral:rRNA from 1 species